UGUCCUUCAAACAAGAUCCCCACUAGCCCAUCUCCCUGUAGCUCGCCGACGGCGGCGGCGGUCAGAUCCGGUGCUUGCGAGAGGACUACGCCCACCGCUCCUCCUCCAGGCGCCUCUCGACGCCAUACUGCGCAUCAUCGACCAGGACCCUGGCCGCCGCCGCCACGGUCUCCUCCUCCACUCGUGCAUCUACCCAGGAAUCCAGGAGGCAUCACCUGGCCUUCUCUGUGCCGGAUUCCGACAGGUUUGCGACCAAGCUGAAGAACCCUGGCACAGACUUGUUCGCGAAGACGCAACCCGAUGGCCGCGCGCGCCAGGUGUUCUUCCUCGACCGGGACGGUAGAUUUGACAACUGGAUGCCCAGGCUUAGAUAGGAACAGAGGACAUAGCAGCAGAAGAACAGAUGCAUUGGAUAGCUUCUGCUAUCGAUUUUCCAGAUCAUUUCACUAGCACUUUGACUUAUUGAGAGCGGCGAAGUGAAGGAAGCUCUGUGUGCGAAAAUAACCACACCUUUGUGUGUAAAAAGAGUGCUGAUAUAUUUUCAGUGUAACUGGUGUUUCUGUUCACGCUUAAGAAGUGCUUCAUAUAAUGGCCUAAUUACAAUUCAAGUUGAGCGUGUUA